UACGGGGGGGGCAAGCGUUGUUCGGAAUUACUGGGCGUAAAGGGCGCGUAGGCGGUUUGCUAAGUUGGAUGUGAAAACUCUGGGCUUAACCCAGAGCCUGCAUCCAAAACUGGCUAACUUGAGUACUGGAGGGGAAAGCGGAAUUCCUGGUGUAGCGGUGAAAUGCGUAGAUAUCAGGAGGAACACCGGUGGCGAAGGCGGCUUUCUGGACAGUAACUGACGCUGAGGCGCGAAAGCUAGGGGAGCAAACAGG
rnacentral:rRNA from 1 species